rnacentral:rRNA from 1 species
GACGAACGCUGGCGGCGUGCUUAACACAUGCAAGUCGAACGGACGAGUGAGAUAAGUUACUUAACUCACAAGUUAGUGGCGGACGGGUGAGUAACACGUGGAUAAUCUACCUGCAACACCGGGAUAACGCUGUGAAAACGGUAGCUAAUACCGGAUACGUUCCCUUGUGCGCAUGUAUGAGGGAAGAAAGCUCAGGCGGUUGCAGAUGAGUCCGCGGCUGAUUAGCUAGUUGGUGAGGUAAAGGACUCACCAAGGCGAUGAUCAGUAGCCGGCCUGAGAGGGUGAACGGCCACACUGGGACUGAGACACGGCCCAGACUCCUACGGGAGGCAGCAGUGGGGAAUCUUCCGCAAUGGGCGCAAGCCUGACGGAGCAACGCCGCGUGGGUGAAGAAGGCCUUCGGGUUGUAAAGCCCUGUCUUAUGGGAAGAAGUCAGUGACGGUACCAUAGGAGGAAGCCACGGCUAACUACGUG